rnacentral:rRNA from 1 species
AUUGAACGCUGGCGGCAGGCUUAACACAUGCAAGUCGAACGAGCGGCGGACGGGUGAGUAAUAUCUGGGACACUGCCUGCUGGAGUGGGAUAACUACUGGAAACGGUAGCUAAUACCGCCUACCAUCGGAUGUGCCCAGAUGGGAUUAGCUAGUUGGGGGGGUAAAGGCUCACCUAGGCGACGAUCCCUAACUGGUCUGAGAGGAUGACCAGCCACACUGGAACGGAGACACGGUCCAGACUACGACGGGAGGCAGCAGUGGGGAAUAUUGCACAAUGGGAGCAAGCCUGAUGCAGCCAUGCCGCGUGUAUGAAGAAGGCCUUCGGGUUGUAAAGUACUUUCAGCGGGGAGGCGUUACCAGAAGAAGAAGCACCGGCUAACUACGUGCCAGCAGCCGCGGUAAUUC